GGGUGUUUAACUCAGUGGUAGAGUGUUCGCUUUGCAUUCAAUGCUGCGAAAAGUCGAGCGUUCGAUCCGCUCAUCAUCCA